rnacentral:rRNA from 1 species
UGGGGGAAUUUUGGACAAUGGGCGAAAGCCUGAUCCAGCAAUGCCGCGUGUGUGAAGAAGGCCUUCGGGUUGUAAAGCACUUUUGUCCGGAAAGAAAUCCUUGGCUCUAAUACAGUCGGGGGAUGACGGUACCGGAAGAAUAAGCACCGGCUAACUACGUGCCAGCAGCCGCGGUAAUACGUAGGGUGCAAGCGUUAAUCGGAAUUACUGGGCGUAAGCGUGCGCAGGCGGUUUGCUAAGACCGAUGUGAAAUCCCCGGGCUCAACCUGGGAACUGCAUUGGUGACUGGCAGGCUAGAGUAUGGCAGAGGGGGGUAGAAUUCCACGUGUAGCAGUGAAAUGCGUAGGAGAUGUGGAGGAAUACCGAUGGCGAAGGCAGCCCCCUGGGCCAAUACUGACGCUCAUGCACGAAAGCGUGGGGAGCAAACAGGAUUAGAUACCCUGGGUAGUCCACGCCCUAAACGAUGUCAACUAGUUGUUGGGGAUUCAUUUCCUUAGUAACGUAGCUAACGCGUGAAGUUGACCGCCUGGGGAGUACGGUCGCAAGAUU